rnacentral:rRNA from 1 species
UAGGGAAUAUUGGGCAAUGGACGAGAGUCUGACCCAGCCAUGCCGCGUGCAGGAUGAAGGCUUUCUGAGUCGUAAACUGCUUUUGCCAGGGAAGAAAAAAGCGGAUGCGUCCGCUACUGACGGUACCUGGUGAAUAAGCACCGGCUAACUCCGUGCCAGCAGCCGCGGUAAUACGGAGGGUGCAAGCGUUGUCCGGAUUUAUUGGGUUUAAAGGGUGCGUAGGCGGCUCAUUAAGUCUGGGGUGAAAGCCCGUUGCUCAACAACGGAACUGCCCUGGAAACUGGUGAGCUUGAGUACAGACGAGGGUGGCGGAAUGGAUGCUGUAGCGGUGAAAUGCAUAGAUAGCAUCCAGAACCCCGAUUGCGAAGGCAGCUGCCUAGACUGUAACUGACGCUGAGGCACGAAAGCGUGGGGAGCGAACA